rnacentral:sRNA from 1 species
UAUUGUUUGCCUAGUCGCUAUUAGU